rnacentral:lncRNA from 1 species
CACAACUAAAGGAGAUUCGUAAAGUUACUUUAUCCCGGUUAUUCUGUGAUAACACCAAUGUCAAAGAAGUUCAACUCGUAUCCUUCGUAAAGCCAGCUAAUUGGAAUCCAUUUGAAGAUUGCUCAAAGGGAAAAUUACCAAAAAUGAAUCUAAGUGCAUGGAAAAAUGAGCCGGUUUGGACGUAAUGACUUUGCUGUUCAAAUAUAUUUUUAUUCAAACUUCUGUAUGUAACAUAAAUAAACUAAGUAUUUAUAAGAAA